CACGUUGUCUGCCAUACGCA
rnacentral:rRNA from 1 species